AAGACUAUACUUUCAGGGAUCAUUUCUAUAGUGUCUUACUAGGAAAUGUGAUAUGAAAGUGUUAUGUGUCUCUAAUCACAAUGAUGAGUUUUGAUGUACUCUUCUGAGCAUAAAGCAGGUUUUGGCUAAUGAUUCUUUCAUGGGCUUUAACCAUUGAUGAAUGUUCUUUACUUCUUAUAAGGUAUGUGUAGAAAAUUACGUGAUCAGAGUGAU